AGUGAACGCUGGCGGUAGGCCUAACACAUGCAAGUCGAACGGCAGCACAGUAAGAGCUUGCUCUUACGGGUGGCGAGUGGCGGACGGGUGAGGAAUACAUCGGAAUCUACUUUUUCGUGGGGGAUAACGUAGGGAAACUUACGCUAAUACCGCAUACGACCUACGGGUGAAAGCAGGGGAUCUUCGGACCUUGCGCGAUUGAAUGAGCCGAUGUCGGAUUAGCUAGUUGGCGGGGUAAAGGCCCACCAAGGCGACGAUCCGUAGCUGGUCUGAGAGGAUGAGGAGGAAGACGGGAAGUGAGAGAGGGAGGAGAAUAAUACGUGAGCCAGCAGUGGGGAAUAGGGGACAAGGGGCGCAAGAAUGAUAAAGCCAUAAGGCGGGGGAGAAGAAGGAACGAGGGUUGCGAAGCUGUUGUGUGGGUAAAGAAAAAAAGCAGGUUAAUAAACAGCGGGUCUGAAGGUACCAAAAGAAUAAGCAAGGGCUAAUUGCGUG
rnacentral:rRNA from 1 species